rnacentral:rRNA from 1 species
AUUGAACGCUGGCGGCAUGCCUUACACAUGCAAGUCGAACGGUAACAGGUCUUCGGAUGCUGACGAGUGGCGAACGGGUGAGUAAUACAUCGGAACGUGCCCGAUCGUGGGGGAUAACUACUCGAAAGAGUAGCUAAUACCGCAUACGAUCUACGGAUGAGAGCGGGGGAUCUUCGGACCUCGUGCGGACGGAGCGGCCGAUGGCAGAUUAGGUAGUUGGUGGGAUAAAAGCUUACCAAGCCGACGAUCUGUAGCUGGUCUGAGAGGACGACCAGCCACACUGGGACUGAGACACGGCCCAGACUCCUACGGGAGGCAGCAGUGGGGAAUUUUGGACAAUGGGCGAAAGCCUGAUCCAGCAAUGCCGCGUGCAGGAUGAAGGCCUUCGGGUUGUAAACUGCUUUUGUACGGAACGAAAAGACUCCUUCUAAUACAGGGCGUCCAUGACGGUACCGUAAGAAUAAGCACCGGCUAACUACGUGCCAGCCGCCGCAGUAA